CCUCCUCCACUACUACCACCAGCCUUAGGAGGCUAAUGAGGAGGCAUAGAAGAGAGGAGACUCUUAUAUAGUCCAUAUAAUCCCAGGGACCUGUCAUAGGAGUUCAUGUAGGGGGAAUGUCAAAACAAAAACAAAAUAACCUUCCUGUUUGCCCAGCUGAUUGCUAUAGGGAGAGCUUACUUUUCCAUGAUAGAAAGGGAGCCCUUUAAGCAACUGAUACAGGCCCUUGUUCUGCAAUACAG